GACCAGACUCCUACGGGAGGCAGCAGUGGGGAAUAUUGCACAAUGGGGGAAACCCUGAUGCAGCGACGCCGCGUGGGCGAGGAAGUACCUCGGUAUGUAAAGCUCUAUCAGCAGGGAAGAAAUAGCGACCUUUGGGUCGCCAGACGGUACCUGACUAAGAAGCCCCGGCUAACUACGUGCCAGCAGCCGCGGUAAUACGUAGGGGGCAAGCGUUAUCCGGAUUUACUGGGUGUAAAGGGAGCGUAGACGGCAGCACAAGUCUGAAGUGAAAUGCCGGGGCUUAACCCCGGAACUGCUUUGGAAACUGUGCAGCUAGAGUGCAGGAGAGGUAAGCGGAAUUCCUAGUGUAGCGGUGAAAUGCGUAGAUAUUAGGAGGAACACCAGUGGCGAAGGCGGCCUGCUGGACGAUGACUGACGUUGAGGCUCGAAAGCGUGGGGAGCAAACAGGAUUAGAUACCCCAGUAGAA
rnacentral:rRNA from 1 species